rnacentral:rRNA from 1 species
GACGAACGCUGGCGGCGUGCUUAACACAUGCAAGUCGAACGAAAAGAGGGAAAGAGCUUGCUCUUUCCGGAAUUGAGUGGCAAACGGGUGAGUAACACGUAAACAACCUGCCUUCAGGAUGGGGACAACAGACGGAAACGACUGCUAAUACCGAAUAAGUUCCAAGGGCCGCAUGGCCCAUGGAAGAAAAGGUGGCCUCUACCUGUAAGCUAUCGCCUGAAGAGGGGUUUGCGUCUGAUUAGCUGGUUGGAGGGGUAACGGCCCACCAAGGCGACGAUCAGUAGCCGGUCUGAGAGGAUGAACGGCCACACUGGAAGUGAGACACGGUCCAGACUCCUACGGGAGGCAGCAGUGGGGAAUCUUCCGCAAUGGGCGAAAGCCUGACGGAGCAACGCCGCGUGAGUGAUGACGGCCUUCGGGUUGUAAAACUCUGUGAUCCGGGACGAAAAGGCAGAGUGCGAAGAACAAACUGCAUUGACGGUACCGGAAAAGCAAGCCACGGCUAACUACGUG